rnacentral:rRNA from 1 species
GUGGUAUACGAUGGAUCCGCGUCUGAUUAGCUUGUUGGCGGGGUAAAGGCCCACCAAGGCGACGAUCAGUAGCCGGCCUGAGAGGGUGAACGGCCACAUUGGGACUGAGACACGGCCCAAACUCCUACGGGAGGCAGCAGUGGGGAAUAUUGCACAAUGGGGGAAACCCUGAUGCAGCGACGCCGCGUGAGUGAAGAAGUAUUUCGGUAUGUAAAGCUCUAUCAGCAGGGAAGAAAAUGACGGUACCUGACUAAGAAGCCCCGGCUAACUACGUGCCAGCAGCCGCGGUAAUACGUAGGGGGCAAGCGUUAUCCGGAUUUACUGGGUGUAAAGGGAGCGUAGACGGCAGCGCAAGUCUGGAGUGAAAUCCCAUGGCUUAACCAUGGAACUGCUUUGGAAACUGUGCAGCUAGAGUGCAGGAGAGGUAAGCGGAAUUCCUAGUGUAGCGGUGAAAUGCGUAGAUAUUAGGAGGAACACCAGUGGCGAAGGCGGCUUACUGGACUGUAACUGACGUUGAGGCUCGAAAGCGUGGGGAGCAAACAGGAUUAGAUACCCUGGUAGUCCACGCUGUAAACGAUGAUUACUAGGUGUUGGGGGACCAAGGUCCUUCG